AGUUUGAUCCUGGCUCAGAAUGAACGUUGGCGGCGUGGAUUAGGCAUGCAAGUCGAAUGAAUCCCUUGUAGCAAUAUGAGGGGGAAAUGGCGAAAGGGGCAGUAAUGUAUGGGCAACCUACCCGGGGGUCGUGGAUAGCCGUCCUAACGGACGGGUAAUACAUGGCGAUUCGACGAGAGGACAUCCUUUUGUCGGGAAAGAUUUAUCGCCUCCGGAGGGGCUCAUAUCGUAUUAGCUAGUUGGUGAGGUAACGGCUCACCAAGGCGAAGAUGCGUAGCGGGUGUGAGAGCACGACCCGCGCCACUGGCACUGAGACACUGGCCAGACACCUACGGGUGGCUGCAGUCGAGGAUCUUUGGCAAUGAGCGAAAGCUUGACCAAGCGACGCCGCGUGGAUGAUGAAGGCCUUCGGGUUGUAAAAUCCUGUCGAGGGGGAUCAAAGGCAACUUGAGUGAUCCCUGGAGGAAGCACGGGCUAAGUUCGUGCCAGCAGCCGCGGUAAGACGAACCGUGCAAACGUUAUUCGGAAUCACUGGGCAUAAAGGGCGCGUAGGCGGCUUGACAAGUCAGGGGUGAAAGCCGGCAGCUUAACUGUCGCAGUGCCUUUGAUACUGUCAAGCUCGAGGGAGGUAGGGGUCUGUGGAACUUCCGGUGGAGCGGUGAAAUGCGUUGAUAUC
rnacentral:rRNA from 1 species